UACGGGGGGGGGCAAGCGUUGUUCGGAAUUACUGGGCGUAAAGGGCUCGUAGGUGGCCAACUAAGUCAGACGUGAAAAUCCCUCGGCUUAACCGGGGGAACUGCGUCUGAUACGGGCGGGCUAGAGUUCGGUAGGGGGAGACUGGAAUUCCUGGUGUAGCGGUGAAAAUGCGCAGAUAUCAGGAGGAACACCUAUAGCGAAGGCAGCUUGCUGGGGACGUAAACUGACGCUAAAGGGCGCGAAAAGCGUGGGGGAGCGAACAGGA
rnacentral:rRNA from 1 species